rnacentral:rRNA from 1 species
GAUGAACGCUGGCGGCGUGCUUAACACAUGCAAGUCGAACGGAAAGGCCCUGCUUUUGUGCGGUUCUCGAGUGGCGAACGGGUGAGUAACACGUGAGUAACCUGCCCUUGACUUUCGGAUAACUUCAGGAAACUGGGGCUAAUACCGGAUAGGAGCUCUUGCUGCAUGGGGGGGGUUGGAAAGUUUCGGCGGUUGGGGAUGGACUCGCGGCUUAUCAGCUUGAUGGUGGGGUAGUGGCUUACCAAGGCUUUGACGGGUAGGCGGCCUGAGAGGGUGACCGGCGACAAUAGUCCUGAGGUACGGAGCAGACGCCUACGGGAGGCAGCAGGGGGGAGUAUUGCACAGUGGGCGGAAGCCUGAGGCAGCGACGUCGGGUGCGGAAUGACGUCCUUUGGGUUGUAAACAGCUUUCGCAUGUGACGAAGCGGGAGUGACGGUAAUGGGUAAAGAAGCACCGGCUAACUACGUG